GUGCCAGCAGCCGCGGUAAUACGUAGGGGGCAAGCGUUAUCCGGAUUUACUGGGUGUAAAGGGAGCGCAGACGGCCAAGCAAGUCUGAAGUGAAAUGCAUGGGCUCAACCCAUGAAUUGCUUUGGAAACUGUUAGGCUUGAGUGUCGGAGAGGUAAGCGGAAUUCCUAGUGUAGCGGUGAAAUGCGUAGAUAUUAGGAGGAACACCGGAGGCGAAGGCGGCUUACUGGACGACAACUGACGUUGAGGCUCGAAGGCGUGGGGAGCAAACAGGAUUAGAUA
rnacentral:rRNA from 1 species